GUGGCGAACGGGUGAGUAACACGUGAGCAACCUGCCCUGGACUCUGGGAUAAGCGCUGGAAACGGCGUCUAAUACUGGAUAUGAGACGUGAUCGCAUGGUCGUGUUUGGAAAGAUUUUUCGGUCUGGGAUGGGCUCGCGGCCUAUCAGCUUGUUGGUGAGGUAAUGGCUCACCAAGGCGUCGACGGGUAGCCGGCCUGAGAGGGUGACCGGCCACACUGGGACUGAGACACGGCCCAGACUCCUACGGGAGGCAGCAGUGGGGAAUAUUGCACAAUGGGCGGAAGCCUGAUGCAGCAACGCCGCGUGAGGGAUGACGGCCUUCGGGUUGUAAACCUCUUUUAGCAGGGAAGAAGCGAAAGUGACGGUACCUGCAGAAAAAGCGCCGGCUAACUACGUGCCAGCAGCCGCGGUAAUACGUAGGGCGCAAGCGUUAUCCGGAAUUAUUGGGCGUAAAGAGCUCGUAGGCGGUUUGUCGCGUCUGCUGUGAAAUCCCGAGGCUCAACCUCGGGCCUGCAGUGGGUACGGGCAGACUAGAGUGCGGUAGGGGAGAUUGGAAUUCCUGGUGUAGCGGUGGAAUGCGCAGAUAUCAGGAGGAACACCGAUGGCGAAGGCAGAUCUCUGGGCCGUAACUGACGCUGAGGAGCGAAAGGGUGGGGAGCAAACAGGCUUAGAUACCCUGGUAGUCCACCCCGUAAACGUUGGGAACUAGUUGUGGGGACCAUUCCACGGUUUCCGUGACGCAGCUAACGCAUUAAGUUCCCCGCCUGGGGAGUACGGCCGCAAGGCUAAAACUCAAAGGAAUUGACGGGGACCCGCACAAGCGGCGGAGCAUGCGGAUUAAUUCGA
rnacentral:rRNA from 1 species